GAGCUUGCUAUGAUGACAAUAUCUUUCCCCGUCUUAUCGACAAAUGCUGAUUUGGUCUUUAUUUCAAGCCAAUUUGUCUGAUGCAAGCUC